AUUGAACGCUGGCGGCAGGCUUAACACAUGCAAGUCGAGCGAGCGGCGGACGGGUGAGUAUUGUCUGGGAACCUGCCUGAUGGAGGGGGAUAACUACUGGAAACGGUAGCUAAUACCGCAUACCAUCAGAUGUGCCCAGAUGGGAUUAGCUAGUCGGUGGAGUAAUGGCUCACCUAGGCAACGAUCCCUAGCUGGUCUGAGAGGAUGACCAGCCACACUGGAACUGAGACACGGUCCAGACUCCUACGGGAGGCAGCAGUGGGGAAUAUUGCACAAUGGGCGCAAGCCUGAUGCAGCCAUGCCGCGUGUGUGAAGAAGGCCUUCGGGUUGUAAAGCACUUUCAGCGAGGAGGCGUUACUCGCAGAAGAAGCACCGGCUAACUCCGUGCCAGCAGCCGCGGUAAUUC
rnacentral:rRNA from 1 species